UGCAGCAACGCCGCGUGCGGGAUGACGGCCUUCGGGUUGUAAACCGCUUUUAGUAGGGAAGAAGGGCUUCGGCUUGACGGUACCUGCAGAAAAAGGACCGGCUAACUACGUGCCAGCAGCCGCGGUAAUACGUAGGGUCCGAGCGUUGUCCGGAAUUAUUGGGCGUAAAGAGCUCGUAGGCGGUUUGUCGCGUCUGCUGUGAAAUCUGGAGGCUCAACCUCCAGCCUGCAGUGGGUACGGGCAGACUAGAGUGCGGUAGUGGAGAAUGGAAUUCCUGGUGUAGCGGUGGAAUGCGCAGAUAUCAGGAGGAACACCGAUGGCGAAGGCAGUUCUCUGGGCCGUAACUGACGCUGAGGAGCGAAAGCGUGGGGAGCGAACAGGAUUAGAUACCCUGGUAGUCCACGCCGUAAACGUUGGGCGCUAGAUGUGGGGACCUUUCCACGGUUUCCGUGUCGUAGCUAACGCAUUAAGCGCCCCGCCUGGGGAGUACGGCCGCAAGGCUAAAACUCAAAGGAAUUGACGGGGGCCCGCACAAGCGGCGGAGCAUGCGGAUUAAUUCGAUGCAACGCGAAGAACCUUACCAAGGCUUGACAUAACCGAGAACGCCCUAGAAAUAGGGAACUCUUUGGA
rnacentral:rRNA from 1 species